rnacentral:rRNA from 1 species
AGUGAACGCUGGCGGCAGGCCUAACACAUGCAAGUCGAGCGGCAGCGGGUCCCCGCGAGGGGAUGCCGGCGAGCGGCGGACGGGUGAGGACCACAUCGGAAUCUGCCUGGUUGUGGGGGAUAACGUAGGGAAACUUACGCUAAUACCGCAUGCGACCCUGAGUCGACGGACUUGGGGUGAAAGUGAGGGACCUUCGGGCCUCACGCGACCAGAUGAGCCGAUGUCGGAUUAGCUAGUUGGCGGGGUAACGGCCCGCCAAGGCGACGAUCCGUAGCUGGUCUGAGAGGAUGAUCAGCCACACUGGGACUGAGACACGGCCCAGACUCCUACGGGAGGCAGCAGUGGGGAAUCUUGGACAAUGGGCGCAA